rnacentral:rRNA from 1 species
AUCCCUUGACAUCCUGCGAACUUUCUAGAGAUAGAUUGGUGCCUUCGGGAACGCAGUGACAGGUGCUGCAUGGCUGUCGUCAGCUCGUGUCGUGAGAUGUUGGGUUAAGUCCCGCAACGAGCGCAACCCUUAUCAUUAGUUGCUAACAUUUAGUUGAGAACUCUAAUGAGACUGCCGGUGAUAAACCGGAGGAAGGCGGGGACGACGUCAAGUCAUCAUGGCCCUUAUGGGAUGGGCUACACACGUGCUACAAUGGGGGGUACAAAGAGCAGCCAACUGGCGACAGUGCGCGAAUCUCAUAAAACCUCUCGUAGUCCGUAUCGGAGUCUGCAACUCGACUCCGUGAAGUCGGAAUCGCUAGUAAUCGUGAAUCAGAAUGUCACGGUGAAUACGUUCCCGGGCCU